rnacentral:rRNA from 1 species
UACGGAGGGUGCGAGCGUUGUCCGGAAUCAUUGGGCGUAAAGGGCGCGUAGGUGGCCUGCUAAGCGUGCGGUGAAAGUCGGGGGCUCAACCCCCGAUCGGCCGUGCGAACUGGGAGGCUUGAGCACUGUAGAGGCAGUCGGAAUUCCGGGUGUAGCGGUGGAAUGCGUAGAGAUCCGGAAGAACACCGGUGGCGAAGGCGGCCUGCUGGGCAGUUUUGCUGACACUGAGGCGCGACAGCGUGGGGAGCAAACAGG